rnacentral:rRNA from 1 species
AGUUACCAGCACGUUAUGGUGGGCACUCUAAGGAGACUGCCGGUGACAAACCGGAGGGAAAGGUGGGGAGUGACGUCAAGUCAUCAUGGCCCUUACGGCCUGGGCUACACACGUGCUACAAUGGUCGGUACAAAGGGUUGCCAAGCCGCGAGGUGGAGCUAAUCCCAUAAAACCGAUCGUAGUCCGGAUCGCAGUCUGCAACUCGACUGCGUGAAGUCGGAAUCGCUAGUAAUCGUGAAUCAGAAUGUCACGGUGAAUACGUUCCCGGGCCUU